GUGCUCACUUCAGGAGCACAUAUACUAAGAUUGGAAUGAUAUAGAGUAACUUAGCAUGGUCCCUGC
rnacentral:snRNA from 1 species